UGACGGUACCUGCAGAAGAAGCCCCGGCUAACUCCGUGCCAGCAGCCGCGGUAAUACGGAGGGAGCUAGCGUUGUUCGGAAAUACUGGGCGUAAAGCGAACGUAGGCGGCUUAGCAAGUCAGGGGUGAAAUCCCGGAGCUCAACUCCGGAACUGCCUUUAAUACUGGCAAUCUUGAGUCCGAGAGAGGUGAGUGGAACUCCUAGUGUAGAGGUGGAAUUCGUAGAUAUUAGGAAGAA
rnacentral:rRNA from 1 species